rnacentral:rRNA from 1 species
GGUUAAGCGACUAAGCGUACACGGUGGAUGCCCUGGCAGUCAGAGGCGAUGAAGGACGUGCUAAUCUGCGAUAAGCGUCGGUAAGGUGAUAUGAACCGUUAUAACCGGCGAUUUCCGAAUGGGGAAACCCAGUGUGAUUCGUCACACUAUCAUUAACUGAAUCCAUAGGUUAAUGAGGCGAACCGGGGGAACUGAAACAUCUAAGUACCCCGAGGAAAAGAAAUCAACCGAGAUUCCCCCAGUAGCGGCGAGCGAACGGGGAGCAGCCCAGAGCCUGAAUCAGUGUGUGUGUUAGUGGAAGCGUCUGGAAAGGCGCGCGAUACAGGGUGACAGCCCCGUACACAAAAAUGCACAUGCUGUGAGCUCGAUGAGUAGGGCGGGAUACGUGGUAUCCUGUCUGAAUAUGGGGGGACCAUCCUCCAAGGCUAAAUACUCCUGACUGACCGAUAGUGAACCAGUACCGUGAGGGAAAGGCGAAAAGAACCCCGGCGAGGGGAGUGAAAAAGAACCUGAAACCGUGUACGUACAAGCAGUGGGAGCACGCUUAGGCGUGUGACUGCGUACCUUUGUAUAAUGGGUCAGCGACUUAUAUUCUGUAGCAAGGUUAACCGAAUAGGGACCCGAAGGGAAACCGAGUCUUAACUGGGCGUUAAGUUGCAGGGUAUAGACCCGAAACCCGGUGAUCUAGCCAUGGGCAGGUUGAAGGUUGGGUAACACUAACUGGAGGACCGAACCGACUAAUGUUGAAAAAUUAGCGGAUGACUUGUGGCUGGGGGUGAAAGGCCAAUCAAACCGGGAGAUAGCUGGUUCUCCCGAAAGCUAUUUAGGUAGCGCCUCGUGAACUCAUCUCCGGGGUAGAGCACUGUUUCGGCAAGGGGUCAUCCCGACUUACCAACCCGAUGCAAACUGCGAAUACCGGAGAAUGUUAUCACGGGAGACACACGGCGGGUGCUAACGUCCGUCGUGAAGAGGGAAACAACCCAGACCGCCAGCUAAGGUCCCAAAGUCAUGGUUAAGUGGGAAACGAUGUGGGAAGGCCCAGACAGCCAGGAUGUUGGCUUAGAAGCAGCCAUCAUUUAAAGAAAGCGUAAUAGCUCACUGGUCGAGUCGGCCUGCGCGGAAGAUGUAACGGGGCUAAACCAUGCACCGAAGCUGCGGCAGCGACGCUUAUGCGUUGUUGGGUAGGGGAGCGUUCUGUAAGCCUGUGAAGGUGUGCUGUGAGGCAUGCUGGAGGUAUCAGAAGUGCGAAUGCUGACAUAAGUAACGAUAAAGCGGGUGAAAAGCCCGCUCGCCGGAAGACCAAGGGUUCCUGUCCAACGUUAAUCGGGGCAGGGUGAGUCGACCCCUAAGGCGAGGCCGAAAGGCGUAGUCGAUGGGAAACAGGUUAAUAUUCCUGUACUUGGUGUUACUGCGAAGGGGGGACGGAGAAGGCUAUGUUGGCCGGGCGACGGUUGUCCCGGUUUAAGCGUGUAGGCUGGUUUUCCAGGCAAAUCCGGAAAAUCAAGGCUGAGGCGUGAUGACGAGGCACUACGGUGCUGAAGCAACAAAUGCCCUGCUUCCAGGAAAAGCCUCUAAGCAUCAGGUAACAUCAAAUCGUACCCCAAACCGACACAGGUGGUCAGGUAGAGAAUACCAAGGCGCUUGAGAGAACUCGGGUGAAGGAACUAGGCAAAAUGGUGCCGUAACUUCGGGAGAAGGCACGCUGAUAUGUAGGUGAAGUCCCUCGCGGAUGGAGCUGAAAUCAGUCGAAGAUACCAGCUGGCUGCAACUGUUUAUUAAAAACACAGCACUGUGCAAACACGAAAGUGGACGUAUACGGUGUGACGCCUGCCCGGUGCCGGAAGGUUAAUUGAUGGGGUCAGCGCAAGCGAAGCUCUUGAUCGAAGCCCCGGUAAACGGCGGCCGUAACUAUAACGGUCCUAAGGUAGCGAAAUUCCUUGUCGGGUAAGUUCCGACCUGCACGAAUGGCGUAAUGAUGGCCAGGCUGUCUCCACCCGAGACUCAGUGAAAUUGAACUCGCUGUGAAGAUGCAGUGUACCCGCGGCAAGACGGAAAGACCCCGUGAACCUUUACUAUAGCUUGACACUGAACAUUGAGCCUUGAUGUGUAGGAUAGGUGGGAGGCUUAGAAGUGUGGACGCCAGUCUGCAUGGAGCCGACCUUGAAAUACCACCCUUUAAUGUUUGAUGUUCUAACGUUGACCCGUAAUCCGGGUUGCGGACAGUGUCUGGUGGGUAGUUUGACUGGGGCGGUCUCCUCCUAAAGAGUAACGGAGGAGCACGAAGGUUGGCUAAUCCUGGUCGGACAUCAGGAGGUUAGUGCAAUGGCAUAAGCCAGCUUGACUGCGAGCGUGACGGCGCGAGCAGGUGCGAAAGCAGGUCAUAGUGAUCCGGUGGUUCUGAAUGGAAGGGCCAUCGCUCAACGGAUAAAAGGUACUCCGGGGAUAACAGGCUGAUACCGCCCAAGAGUUCAUAUCGACGGCGGUGUUUGGCACCUCGAUGUCGGCUCAUCACAUCCUGGGGCUGAAGUAGGUCCCAAGGGUAUGGCUGUUCGCCAUUUAAAGUGGUACGCGAGCUGGGUUUAGAACGUCGUGAGACAGUUCGGUCCCUAUCUGCCGUGGGCGCUGGAGAACUGAGGGGGGCUGCUCCUAGUACGAGAGGACCGGAGUGGACGCAUCACUGGUGUUCGGGUUGUCAUGCCAAUGGCACUGCCCGGUAGCUAAAUGCGGAAGAGAUAAGUGCUGAAAGCAUCUAAGCACGAAACUUGCCCCGAGAUGAGUUCUCCUGACUCCUUGAGAGUCCUGAAGGAACGUUGAAGACGACGACGUUGAUAGGCCGGGUGUGUAAGCGCAGCGAUGCGUUGAGCUAACCGGUACUAAUGAACCGUGAGGCUUAACCUU